rnacentral:rRNA from 1 species
UACGAAGGGGGCUAGCGUUGUUCGGAAUUACUGGGCGUAAAGCGCGCGCAGGCGGUCUUCCAAGUCAGUGGUGAAAGCCCGGAGCUCAACUCCGGAAUUGCCAUUGAAACUGUUGGACUUGAGGAUGAGAGAGGUGACUGGAAUUCCCGGUGUAGCGGUGAAAUGCGUAGAUAUCGGGAGGAACGCCAGUGGCGAAGGCGAUCAUCUGGGGUUGUUCUGACACUGAGGAGCGAAAGCUAGGGGAGCAAACGGG